rnacentral:rRNA from 1 species
CAUCGCCACGGUAAAACGGAGGGGGCUAGCGUUGUUCGGAAUUACUGGGCGUAAAGCGCACGUAGGCGGCUUGGUAAGUUAGAGGUGAAAGCCUGGAGCUCAACUCCAGAAUUGCCUUUAAGACUGCAUCGCUUGAAUCCAGGAGAGGUGAGUGGAAUUCCGAGUGUAGAGGUGAAAUUCGUAGAUAUUCGGAAGAACACCAGUGGCGAAGGCGGCUCACUGGACUGGUAUUGACGCUGAGGUGCGAAAGCGUGGGGAGCAAACAGGAUUAGAUACCCCAGUAGUCCCUGUCUCUUAUACA